UAUUGGCCAAUGGGCGGGAGCCUGAACCAGCCAAGUAGCGUGAGGGAAGACGGUCCUACGGANUGUAAACCUCUUUUGCCGGGGANNACNNNGNUCCUUGCGAGGGCCCAAUGAGAGUACGCGGAGACAANNNANCNGCUAACUCCGUGCCAGCAGCCGCGGUAAUACGGAGGAUGCGAGCGUUAUCCGGAUUUAUUGGGUUUAAAGGGUGCGUAGGCGGGCUGUUAAGUCAGCGGUCAAAUGUCGGGGCUCAACCCCGGCCUGCCGUUGAAACUGGCGGCCUCGAGUGGGCGAGAAGUAUGCGGAAUGCGUGGUGUAGCGGUGAAAUGCGUAGAUAUCACGCAGAACUCCGAUUGCGAAGGCAGCAUACCGGCGCCCUACUGACGCUGAGGCACGAAAGCGUGGGUAUCGAACAGG
rnacentral:rRNA from 1 species